UACGUAAGGGGCAAGCGUUGUCCGGAAUCACUGGGCGUAAAGCGCACGUAGGCGGCUUGGCAAGUCAGGGGUGCAAGCUCUAGGCUCAACCUAGAAAAUUGCCUCUGAAACUACCUCGCUUGAGGGUCAGAGGGGAAACUGGAAUUCACGGUGUAGCGGUGAAAUACGUAGAUAUCGUGGAGAACACCCGUGGCGAAGGCGGGUUUCUGGCUGGACAACUGACGCUGAGGUGCGAAAGCUAGGGGGAGGCGAACGGGA
rnacentral:rRNA from 1 species